CAUCGACAACAGUACCAACAUAACUCUAGACUUCGCUCUGUUCAAACCGAGCAAAGAUGAAUUCAAGGACAACAACAACCAGCUCGAUUACAAAAACCUCUUUGACGCCAAUCUCGACUCAGUUUACGCGGCAUUGGAUAAACUGGGCGGGGGAUCGUUGGAAGUCGUGGUGUCGGAGAGCGGUUGGCCCACGCAGGGAGGGGAGGAGGCGAGUGAGGGGAAUGCGGGGACUUAUAUUAACAAUUUGAUACAACAUGUGAAGAAGGGAUCUCCGAGAAGGCCAGAUAAAGCUAUAGAGACUUACAUAUUCGCCAUGUUCGAUGAGAAUUUGAAGCCGAAUGAGGAUCCGUUUGAGAGGUACUUUGGGCUGUUUAAUGCUACUACUAGAGACCCUAAAUAUAGUGUUACUUUCAACUAAUCUUCUUGGAGAGACUUCUUGAAGAAGCAAGGGCUAGUAAAGCAGUGAUGCGGUAAUUAAAUGGUAUUUGUCUAUUUGAGUUUUUUUUUAAUGCAUGAGUAUUAAGAAUGUGUAAACUUGUUGUAAUAUUAAGGACUAGUUAAUGAGCCUUAACCAUUGUUUUUACUUUAUCUGUUUCAGUAAUGUAAUGAGAGUUGUUUAAAUUCUUCAGUAUAUAUAUAUAUAUAUAUAUAUAUAUAUAUAUAUAUAUAUAUGAGGUUGUUCGUUCAUAGUAAACAAAAACUUUUAAAUAUUUAGCUGAAACAUUUAGACAUAACACAAGCCUAAGCAAAACCAUCAUCAUCAACACGGCGUCUAUUUUUGUCACCAAAACUGAAAUCGACACCAAGAAGAAAGUUCUUUGGCUAUUAACUAGGAGUCUAGGAUAACUACAGAAUGCUUACACUGUUCUCAGUAAGACAUGUCACAUGUCCCUUCAUGCUUGCAAUCUUUAGUACCAAACUCAAUCUUAGCUUGUGGUCUGAGUUUUAAACUAUUUUUAAUUUUUUUGUUUGUUUUACAUCAUCUUUUGUACUGAUUUUCUAAAUUGCUAUGAGGUAGCUACGAGCAUCUCCAAUAGACGUGUUCCUUUAAAUGCUUGGUUAUCCAGUAUCCUCUACAUUUUUAUUUGCCAAUUCAUUAUGUUCUUUAAUAUCUUUUUUGAGUAUACAGAAACACACAUAAUUGAUGAUGGCUAUUAUGUUUCCUCUAUAGAAAAACUUCAGAACUUUCGAAAAUUAUCGUCUAACUAAGGAGAUAUAUGAUAUAACUAAAGUGACAUUGAUGAUUUCAAGAACUAUUAGUAAUAAAAGCCAUCUUACCAUAUUUGAUGAUGGCUAGUUUGUCUAACGACGUUAGGAUGAACUAAAGCAAUAGAUGUAAGAUGGCUUUUACCAUGAUUCCAAAUUGCAAUUCAUUAUCGCAUUUAAUCUAAGGUUGUAUGCAGUGGGGUGUGUAGGAAAAAAUCCAUUAUUGGGAGAAAGUUAGAUAUUCUAUAUCUAUUUUUUUAAUGUUUAGCAUGAUUUAUUAACUCAUUUGCUCUAUAAGAUUACUGAUUCACAAUUCUUCUGAUUAGCUAUUUUGAUCCAGCUUAUUUUCAAAAAAAAAAAAACUUAUAGUAUUUGAGAUUGAGUAUUUGACUUAGAGAAGGUGGACAAUCCGUUCCAUUUAACAGUAAGAUUUUAGUGUCAAGUUGGUUAAGCCCUAUUGAAAGCUACAUCCAAGACCGCUUCUUAGGGAGACGAAGCAUUCAAAAUUAUCUUUAACCAAAUGCCAAAAAACAUCGAAUAAAACAUGUCAAACAUCGAAUAUGUACCUAGAAGUGAUAGACGAUAGCAAUAUGCUUCAUCUAUUACAACAUGCAAGUACCUAGAUCGAUAACGAUGACAACAAGAUAAAUACUAUAUACAUUAUCAAACUAGCAUAUUAGUAGUGACUACACGUACAUACUGUAUAUAAGUUUAUGGAAUGAUAAAUAUUCCAAGACAGAUGGUUUUGAUUCACUCAUUGGCUGCAAAAAUAUGCUACAAAAUAUUUGAUUAUAUUGAUAUUUUUGAGAUUCACUCGCCUUGGUCUCGUUUAAGGAUUGAAACUGUCUCUGUAAAUGAACUAAAAUGAUGAUGCUAUUAGAUAUCAAAACAAAAUUUCUGUCAUUUGUGAAGACAGAGAGAUAAAACAGUGGAACCGUGUAAAGAUUCUUCAUGUUGCAAAGAAUUUAUUUGUACCACCAACCAGCAAGAAAAUGCCAAAGCAAGAAACAAAUAUGAGUUGUCCAUCCCGCUAUCGAAAUAAAAGAAAAUAAAUGCUAAGUUAAAUCAUUACUUUGGUGUCACAAAACUGAAAAUAAGUAAUUUUUAAAAAUGUUAAACUUGAUAUUACAUUUAUCGUGGUGGUUUUUUUUAAUUCUUACUGUGGUAGUUUCAUGUGUACGACAAUUAUGGAUGAAUACAUAUUCUUUUCAAUUUCUUGUGGGAUUAAUUAAUUAGAAUAUAUUUUUUUGUCAAAUAUUUUGUGCAUCUAAUAUAUAUCAAGUAUGUUCGUUUAAAAUACUAAAAUUGAUGCAAAAGUCAAGCAAGUAAUUCUAUAAGAUAAGCUAAAAAAACAUAUAUGUAAAUAUGUUGUUGAUAAAAUAAUUGACUAUACUUAUUAAUUACCUCAUAGUCGCCGAUAAUUUUCUAAUUUCUCAUUCUGAUAUUAAAGACGUAAGCUCUGAUUUGUGUUUUCUUCAAUCUGAAAUAUUCAAAACAAAUAUAUCUUAUUAAAAGAAAAUUACAAGUAACAAAUAACAAAUAACUCUAAGACUUACAACUUAUUUAUAUGUCAAUGUCACUGAAAUAAUUAAUAAACCAAAUUUUAAUCAUUAUUCAUCUUUUUCUAAUUUAAUAAAUAAUUUUGUAAAUAAAUUCUAAACUAAAAACCUACUUAAUUACAUUUAAUACCACUUAAAAAUUACAUAAUCCUAACUUUUAGCAUUUAUUAUCUUUUAAUAAAAUUAAACAACCAUAAAAAUAAAAAAUACGUAAAUUGAUUUUCAAACUAAUUAAUGUUAAAACAUAAACUUAAAAUAACUAACUAAUAAACAUGAAAAAUAAUUAAUGCUAUAUUGAUAGGUAAACAACCAUAAAACCAUGACAAAAAUCUAUUUAAAUCUAUUUAUGUUAAUUAUUAAUAACUAAUUAAUAUACAUGACAAAAAAUCAUAAAUCACCUAAAUCAAUUUACGUAUUCAUUUCCUAAAUUUAGAACACAAUAUUUUUAAAGCUAUAUAGUUAUAUUUUUAUUAUUUAUUAGUAACAACUAACAAAACUCACAUAAUUAGUCAUUUAUAUAUUAUAUAAAAAACAGAUUAAUAUAUUGAUAUAUUAUUUUACAUAUAUUUUCAUAUAAAUCAUAGAAUUUCAUGCUGACUUUCAAAGUAACCAUAGUUUGCGGUAAGAACUCCAUCACCAUUAAAUGAAGAACCAUCAAUGACUGAAGCAGGUAAGACCCGCCGCCACCAUACGCAAUAGAUAUGUCAAUUACCUUUUCUAAAUGGUUUAAUUGAACCGAAUUUUUUGUCUUACCAAAUCCAUUAGAAGAAACAUGCAAAGGAACAUUAAUUUUUGUUGUCAGAUUUAAAAUAAAAUAGCAAUCAAACAAAUCAAAUGAUUGGAAGUAAAGCAAAUCAAAGAAAAGAAAAAGUAAAACGAAUCAAACAAGCCGAUGUCAUAGCUGUAGAAGCCUCCGACCAUCGGCUUGAAACUAAAGUUUCUCUUUUUCUCUCUUAAUUGUGUUCUAAAUUUAGUAAAUGAAUAACUAAAUCGAUUAAGGUGGUUUAUGAUUGUUUUGACAUGUUUAUUAAUUAGUAUUAAUAAUAAAAUAUUAAGAUAUCUAAAUCAUUUUUUGAUGGUUUUAUGGUUGUUUACCUAAUCAAUUUAGAUAUGUUUUAUGGUUAUUUAAUUUGAUAAAAAGAGAAUAAAUGCUAAAAUUUGGGAUUAAGUAGUUUUUAGUGGUUUUAAAAUGUAAUUAAUCUAUUUAGAAAAUGAUUUAUUAAAUUAGGAAAAUAAAAAUAAUGUUUAAAGUUAGGCUUAUUAACCACUUCAAUGGCAUUUACUUAUAAAUAAGUUGUAAAUUUUAGAAUAUUUGUUAAUUAAAUUUUAGAAUAUUUGUUAAUUAAAAUGUAAUUAUGUAUAUUUAAAAAACAAUAUACAUAAAUUAAAUGUUUGUUAAUUUAUUUUAGAUCCUUACUGGUGUAUCCAUUUUCUACAUUUGUUUUGCUUGUUCUCAUUAUUUAGAAUUUUGUACUUAUAAGGCUUAAUAAUACAAACCAGUGUCAAAACAAAUAUUUAGAACACAAUAUUGUUUUAAAGCUGUAAAGUUAUAUUUUUAGUUAUCUAUUUGUAACAACUAAAAUACAAAUUUCAUUUAUAUAAUUUAUAUAAUAUAUAUAUAUAUUAUUUUACAUAUAUUUUUAUAUAAAUAAUAGUCCAUUGUAAAUUCAAUAGGUUAAAUGUUGAAGAGGAUAAAAUAUAUAUCACCAAAUUUUAAAUAGUAUAUAAAAACAUUUACUAUAAAUUAUCAUAAAAAAAUUGAUCCACCAAAAAAUAAAGGUAAAUUUGCGCGGAUGCGCAGGUCAUAUUCUAAAAACAAAAGUCAUAAAAUUGACGGUUUACAAGACAAAAAUAAAAUUACUCAAUAUAAUUUAUAAAAUUAUUGUGUUUAGAAAUGUUAUACUAAACAAUUAUUUAAUACAUAUAAGUUUUAAAAGUAUAUAUUAUCACUUAUACAAAUAAAUAUGCGCUGGUCAAGCUCUAGUAUUAGUUAAUAUACCAAAAGCUUUCUCGUUAUUGCUUAUUCAGUAUAUAUCCGUAAUGCUCAUUUGGGUAUAGGCACUUGAAUCUACCCUAUAUUUUGCUAUAUCUAUAUUAUUAAAGUAAAAUUCCUACUAUAAUUAUGCCAUUGAUUUUUAACUUAUUUACAAUGGUAUGUCAUUGCAUUUAAUUCUAAUAUAAAUAUUGUUUAUUUAAAAUAGACAACUGAAUAUUUCCUAUAUUUAUGGUAACUAAUUUUUCCAUAUUUUUGUAAAUGAUAAUAAUUCUAAUUUCUGUGCAAUCUAUACUUUUUAUUUAAUUUAAAUAUUUAAUACUCUAGCCAUCUAUACUAUUAAAGCAAAAUUUCUACUAAGAUUUUACCAUUGAUUUUUAACUUAUUUACAAUGGUAUGUCAUUGCAUUAAUUGUAAUAUAUAUAUUAUUUAUUUAAAAUAAGCAACUGAAUAUUUCUGAUAUUUAUGGUAACUAAGCUUUCUAUAUUUUUGUAAAUGAUAAUAAUUCUAAUUUUUAAUCUAUACUUUUUAUUUAAUUUAAAAAUUUAAUACUCUAACCAUUGGUGGUUAUACUUGAGACUUUUUUUAAAUGUUACAAGUGUGUAAAUUUGUAUGUUUUUUUAGUUUGUUGAUGAUAAAUUCAUAUUGAUUAUUUUUUCUAUCAUUUUUAUUAUGUUAUCCUUCAUGCUAAUUUAUUGCUGGUCGUCAUUAUAAUUUUAUUAAAAUCUUAACUAAUUUAUUUGACUUGCUUUCUUAGACACUUUAUUUUUUUUUUAUCUAAUUUGUAAACAUUGUUCUUUAAAUAUUUUCUUCAACAUAACUCAACAGAGAGCAUCUUAAACUUUAUAUGUUAUAUGAGGUGAAUCAGACUAAUGAUUAUAAGAAUUCAUCAUUUAGUUUUCUUUAAUAACAAUUGUUUUUUAAAAUCUUGUAGCUCACAUCAUGUUAGAUUUAUUUCAGUAUAGCUUAUUUGUUUGUUUCUAUGAAGAUUUUGACUGUAACUGAAUAAAACAAUAUUUGUACAAACAUAAAAUAGUAAUGUUGAUUAAUAUUUAAAAUUUUAAUGGAUAAACAAAUUCGUUAGUUUUUUAUUGAUUAAAAAUAAUUUGAAACUCAGAAAGAAAUUAUGACUUGCGAUUCUCUCUCUCUAUCUCUGUUCUCUUACUUAACAUCUUUCAGAGAGAGCGAAUGUAAAUUUCAAAUAUUUUUCUUAUAUUAGAAUUAUUCUUUACUCUACCGAAUUUUUUGGUAUGAUACAUUUUUUGUCUAUUAUAUUUUAACUUCGGCUUUGUAUGUCUACUUUCUGUCGUAGAUGUUUACAUUUUUUGUUUGUACUAUUUCUCAUUCACUAUUAUUGUUCAUUCACUUCAACUCCUAUAUUCUUGACGCGUUCUUUAUUCAUGAAGAUUAUUCAUGAAGAUUAUUAAAGAAAACACAUUUGAUAUUGAUUUAUAAUUUAUUUUGAAAAUACACUUUUGAAAUUUUAUUUUGAAGAGUAUAUUUUUAUUUUGUGUUCCUGGAAGGAUAACUAUUGUAUCUAUAUCAUGAAUGAAUUUAAUUUUAAUGAUUUAUUUAUUAGUUUACCUUAUUUGAUGUUGAAAUUCAUUUUGUAUUAUCAAUUUUGGAAAUUUUAACAUUUUAAAAAUAGUAAACUAUAAUUUUGAUUUUUUAUAUUUUGAUUUUUUUGUCUAAUCCUAUGUGUAUACUCUCAAUGACUUAUAUAGCCUCAUACAUAGUAUAUGUUAUUUUUGAAUAUUUUCAAGAGCAAAUUAGCUCAAUAUACUGAAAAGAGUAGGAUACCAUUGAAUUGGGGGAAAAUAGUAGUGAUGAGGGGAAAAAAAUUGAAGGAAAAUAGUGUAUGGAGUGCAAAUAGGGGGAAAGUUGUGGGUAGGGAGUACAAAUACUCUAUUUUCAAUAGUAUAUAGCCUAAACUUUGAAAACCAUGACUUAAAUUAAUUUACUUAUAAUUGUUUGUAAGUCUUGAAUUCUUAAUAUUAAUUCUUAUUUUGUAUUUUAUUUUAAUGUUACAUUUUGAGAAAUAUUAUAUAUUAAGCAAAUUUAUUUAUAAUGUUUGAUAUUGGUUUCUAUUUUAUUUUAAAUGAUCUUAUGGAAUUUUUUAAUCCAUAUCAAAAUAUAAUGAAUUGUUUCUCACUGAUUUAUAGUCUUAGAUUAUAUAUAAUGCAUGCUAUUCAUGAAUAUUUUCAAUAGCAUAUAGCCUAAAUUUUGAAAAUCAUGAGUUAAAUUUAUAGUUAUUAUUGUUUGAAUUAUUGCAUCUUAAAAUUAAUUAUUAUUUUUAGUAAAUUUAUGUUAAAUUAUUACAUAUAUAUAUAUAUAUAUAUAUAUAUAUUAAGUUAAUAUAUGUAUAAUGUUUUUACUUUUGUUAGUUUGCCUUAUUCCAUAUUGAUUUCUUUUUUAUUAUGAAAUAAACAGUUUUGGGAAACAUUGACAUAUUUAAAAAAUAACAAAUUUAAAUGCUUAUUUGUCAUAAUAUGGUUGGUUGUUUUAAAUCUUAUGUGAACGCUUUCAAUGGCUUAUAGUCUCAAAUUUUAUUUAAUAGUUUAUCUUAUUUGAUGUUGAAUUCUAUUUUGUGUUAUCAAUUUUAGAAAUUUUAAUAUUUUUAAAAGAGUAAACUAUGAUUAUGAUUUUUCAUAUUUUGAUUGGUUUUUCCUAAUCAUAUAUGUACACUCUCAAUGACUUAUAGCCUCAUAUAUAAUAUAUGUUAUUUUGAAUAUUUUAAUAACAUAUAAUGUUUUACUUUUGCUAACUUCCCUUGUUUGAUAUUGGUUUUUAUUUUAUUUUAAAUGAUUUUAUGGAACUUUUUAAAUCGUAAUCAAAGUAUAAUGAAUUGUUUCGCACUGAUUUAUGGUCUUAGCUUAUAUAUAAUGUAUUUUAUUUAUGAAUAUUUUUAAUAGCUUAUAGCCUAAAUUUUUGAAAAUCAUGUGUUAAAUUUAUAGUUAUAAUUGCUUGAAUUAUUGCAUUCAAAAAUGAAUUAUUAUUUUUAGUUAAUAUAUGUAUAAUGUUCUUACUCUUCUUAGUUUUCCAUAUUCGAUAUUGAUUUUUUUAAUUAUGAAAUAAACAGAUUUUUUGGAAACAUUGACAUAUUUAAAAAUAACAAAAUAAAAUGCAUCACCAGUUGGAUAGUUAAAAUUCUCAUUGUUGAUGAGAACCAACUUUCCAAGGGCAUCUAUAUAAAAUAUGUAUAUCAUUAGAACAUUAUGAUAAAGUCGUAUAUUUUUUUAUAUGGAUAGUAAUAAAGUUCGUCCCAUAUAUUCCUAGGUGAUCCUAAUUGUUUUCCUCUCAAUAUUGUGGCCAUCAUUGUCUGGACGUACGGAAAUUGUAGUAAGUUAUGAAAAGUUAAUAUCUAUUUUACUAUAAUAGUUAGCAUUUUUUAGUAAGUUAUGAAAAGUUAAUAUGUAUUUAGUUAGUUUAGUAUAUUUAUGUAAUAUUAAUUUCGUUUUUAAAGAUUAUUUUUAGUAUUAAAAUUAUUAAGAAGAUAACAAAUUAAGAUGUUGAUUUGUCAUAAUACGAUUGGUGGUUUAACAUCCUACGUGAGCGCUCUCAAUGGCUUAUAGUCUCAACUUUUAUAUAGUAUAGAUUUGGUUAAAAAUUCAAGACAUUUAGAACCUAACACUUAUUUUGUGAGACAAAAAAUCAAUGGGGUUUAUUCGUUCUUGUGGAUCUUUACUUCACCAAUUUUUUUUUGAAAAGGUACUUUACCAAACUUUCAUAGGGAAAAUACCGUAGUUUAGUUUUUAUUAUCUAAUUAUAUAAAGCUUAGUUUUUCAAAGUUGCUAACUAACAUGAUCACGACAUGUGUCAAAAAUCAUAAAUUCUAAACAAAAGAAAAUUAUUUAAUAAAAAUCAUAAUGUAAAACUAACUAUUGAUUUUAAUUUCUUGAUACAACUCAUUUUUUUUUACAAUUUUAUUACAUUUUAUGAUGCUAACACAAUUUUUUUUUUCAAUUAUGAUGUGUUAUCGUACAUGAGUAUGUGUGAAAAUAAAAUUUUAUUUAAAAAUAAAUUAGUUGUAUAAGAAUUUUUAACAAAAACGAAUUAUAAUAUCCUACCAAUCCAAGAAUUUAUUUAAUGAAAACUAUUAAAUAAAAAAUAAUUAGAAAAUAAGUAAGUUUCCUCUUUUAAAAGUCUAAAUAAAAUAAAAUUGUAAAAAAUGAUUUUUUUAUAAAUAAUUUACUUUCUUUUUCGCAUAAGUAAUUUUGUGUUAAAAAAAUUAUAAACCAAAACAACUUCAAAUAUUUCACUCGAUAAUAAAGCUUGGUUCUUCAAACUUUAUCGCGACAUGUGUGAAUAAAGUUUUUAAGUAUAAAUCCUAAAUAAAAGAAAAUUAUUUAAUAAAAAUCAAAAAGUAAAACUAACUAGAAAUUUUUUAGUCUUUAACUUAUUUUUUAAAGCCUAAACAAAAUAUUGUAAAAGUAUCACUAUUAUUUUAUUAUAAAAAACAAACUUUCCUGUUUAUAGAUAAUUGUAUGUUAAAAGUUAUAAACCAAAAAAUAGCUACAAAUAUUUCAAAACUAUAUUUAGGUCUAAGCUUCCACAUACUAUUUUCACAAAACGAAAUAUUAUUUACGAGAAAAAUAUUACCUAAGUAGUUUUUUUAAUUUCUUGAUACAGCUCAUUUUUGUUUAUAAUUUUGUUACAUUUUAUGAUGCUAACGCAAUUUUUUUUCCGAUAAUGAUGUGUUGUCGUACAUGAGUAUGUAAAUAUAAAAAUAUGAAAAUAUAUGUUUGUACGUAUAAGACAAAAUAUAAAAUUAGUUAAAAAGAAUUUUUUAUUAAAAAUAAAAUAGUUGUAUAAAAAUUUCAAACAAAAACGAAUUAUAAUAUCCUACCAAUACAAGAAAUUUUUAAUGAAAACUAUUAAAUAAAAAAUAAUUAUAAAAUACGUAAGUUUCCUUUUUUAAAAGUCUAAAAAAAUAAAAUUGUAAAAAAUGAUUUUUAUUAUAAAUAACUAAAUUUAUUUUUUCAUAGGUAAUUUUAUGUUAAAAAAAUUAUAAAAAAUAACUUCAAAUAUUUCACCCUAUAUGAUUGUUACAUAUGUCAAUAAAAAAUUAAAUUUUUAAUGUAUCAAUAAAAACCUGCCAUUAUGUGAAAAUAACUUCUUCUUUUUUUUCUAAAAUCCUAAAUGAAAGAGAUUUGUGAAAUAAGUUUUCCUUUUUUAAUCUUGACCAAAUAAGAUUUUUUUUUCUUUAAAAAAAAAGAAGCAAAUCCUUACUAAAGAUAAUUGUAAAAAGGCUAUUUAAUAGUAAUUUUCACUUUUAGAAUUUAAUGAUAAACAUGAUACUAAAAAUUAUUUAAAAUGUAACAAUAUUAGUGAUAUUGAGAAAAACGAAUUUUGAAAAUAGCAACUUUUAAAAAUAGUUAAUAUUAACUGGAAAUAAUUACUUGAUAGUAAUUUUAUUUUUCUAAAUCCUAAAAAAAAUUAAAUAUAAAAUAUUAUUUAAUAUUAAUUUCCUUUUCUAAAGCCCUAAAAACUGUAAGAUAAUUUGAUAUAUUUUUAAAAAAUCAUAAACAAAAGAGAUUUGUAAAAUUUUAAAAAGUUAUUUGGUAAAGUUUUUAAGAGAGACUUUGAUGAUGAACAUGAAAUUAGUAUAGAUACGAAUUGUAGAAAUAGUAUUUUUUAAACUUAUUUAAUAGUAACUAAAAAUAAUUAUUUGAUAAAAAAAUUAUUUUACUAAAAUUUUAAACAGAAGAUAAUCCUAAACAAAAAAUGUAAGAGAGUAUUUUAUAUAUAUAUUUGAUUAUAAAUGAAAAGGAACCCUGUUUAAAAAAAAAUUUAAAAACUAUUUAAUAAUAAUUAAGAAAAUUAUUAAGCAUUGGAUAAGUUUAAUAAAAUAUUAAAAUAUUACAUAAGUAAGGGUAUGAUGUUGUCAUUGACUCGAUUGGUCUUAUUUAACUUUCAAAUUUUGUUAUUCUAAUUCUUAAUUCGGGUUGGGUUGGGUUUAAAGUUAUAGGUAUGAGUGUUUUCUCUAUCAAUAAGUAGAAAGUGAAUAAAAAUUCACCUACAUACCAUGAUUAUAAAAUACAAAUAUUAACUGAAAUUUAUGUGUAAAAAAAUGUUUUUUAUAUAAAAUAAAUCUCACACGAUAUAUGCAAAAACAAUCCUAAAAAUAUAAUAAAAUGAUUUAUUAUUAUUAUUUUUUAUUAAAUUAAAAUAUUAAACAAAACCCAUUGCAACGCACGGGCUCAUAUCUAGUUAAAUAUAAAGUAUGGAUUGUAAGGCCAUCAUUAUCGCGGUCUUCAAAGACCGUUUCUUAGUUUUAUUAACAUUUAAAAAAAGGAAAUUAGAUUAAAUGCAAAAGAACGUUUCUUAUUUAGGGACAAUAAGAGACGAUUUUGUGAGACACGUGUUGCUUUUGGGCCUUGUCUCUUUGAUGAUAUAUUUGAUCAAACUUUUGAGAAUUUUACCAUUCUACUGGUAUCCCUACUAAUCUUUGUUUUUAAGUUUUAUAUUUAAAUCUUUAUUUAAAAUGUUAUCUUUUAUAAUGUUUUAUUUAAUAAAUAAAUUUUAUCUUUAAUUAAAUAAUUUUUUUUAAGAACUCCUAAAUAAGAGAUUUGCAUUGGAGGUAUUAAUUGUAAGAGUUUCUUAAUUAUGUCUCUUAACCUCACUUUAACUAUUUAAAAGUAUUAAAAAAUUAUUAAGAGACCUAAGAAGGGGCUUUGGGAUAAUGAUACUCUUAAGACUUUGGUGUCUAAUGUGUAUGAAGGUACCAGUGAUGGUUCCAAGAAGAGUCUAACCUUAGUGGUCUUUUUUUAUCAUCUAACCUUAGUUGUCUUAAAUCUAUAAUUAAUAACGUACAUCAACACCUAAUAUUAGCUCACACGAGAUUGACGUAUGAUUAACGGCUCAUAAUACCAUAAUACCAUGAUCAAACCUAUUACUAGAAAAACACAACCACUUAAAUUUGAGUAUUUAAAAAAAAAACGAAUCAUGCCAUCUCAUUUGACUCUUCAUGGUUAUACUGUUCUAGGUAAGACAUGUCAGAUGUUGUCCCUUCAUGGUUGCAAUCUUUAGUACCAAACUCAAAUCUGAACUUGUGGUCUGAGUUUUAAACUAUUUUAAACUCAACCAUUAAUCCAAUAGUUAAACUACGCCCACCUCCCCUCCCAUUCCGUCUCAUUUUCUCAGUCACGCUCUCAAAUCUCACACCAAUUCCAUCAGUUAAGAAAGACCGAAACAAGGUAAAGCUUUCAAUUUCACACACUAUAAGAAAACAUGAGACUAACAACGGUGGUAUUCCUCAUGAGUUCGUCGUAAAAAGGCUUUACGAUGAAUUAUCGAGAAAACACGUUUCGUCGUUACUCGUUCACUGCAUAUUUCAUCGCCAAUUCGUCGUAACACAGCGAGAGAAACAUUUCGUUACGACGAAGUACAUCAUUUCGUCGUAAAGACCAUGUAAUCAUUCUACGUAAGGAGGUCGCUAUAUUUUCUCGUAAAUACUUCGAAAGAAGUUCCUGGUAAAUUACAUGUAAAUAUCUCGAAACUAAUUUAGGGUUUUAUUUUUGAAAUUCUUUUAAAUUUUUUAAAUCAUACAAAUAUAAGUAAAAAGAAAUUGUAUGGCACAGGGUCCAAAUACUUUUUAAGCCGAGCCUGGGUGUAAUUCAUGAUUAUCGUAAGGAAUCUUUACAGCUGCCGGAGCCCGGGAGUCUCUACGUUCAUCACGUAUGUCACAUUGUGACGCAAAUGUGCGUGACGUAAAGAGGAGGCUUUCAAUUUCAGUAGUUUGAGUACGGACGAGAGAGAUUUCAUCAAUUAUAAUUUUCUGCCUAAGAAAAUUAUGGACCAUAUAUGACAAACAAACGUUUUUAUCACAUAAAACAAAAGAAAAAAACUGCAGUGAAUAUGAUUUUUCGGUUGUUUUCUUAUACAGAGAAUAUUAAAAUAAUGUUGGAAUGUGUAAGGGAAAUUGUUAUGGCGGUGGACAGAUCUAACAGCAGCAAGUUGUUCUUAUACAGAGAAUAUUAAAAUAAUGUUGGAAUGAGUAAGGGAAAUUGUUAUGGCGGUGGACAGAUCUAACAGCAGCAAGUUGUUCAUAAACAUACGACGUCUAUUUUGUCGUCCAAAACUGAAGUUGACGUUGAGAAAAAAUAAUUGGCUGUUAAUAUCAUUGCUCUAACCAAACCAUGUCUCUUCAUCAUAGUAGUUUACUGUUAUAGUAUUUAUACUACGUUAUUCGAAUAUACUCUAACGUUUACGUGUAGUGCAAAACUCACUCGUAUGGUCUGAGUAGUGAGUACUAUACUAAAUUUUUAAUUUUCAUUUAUUUGCAUUCUAAUUUUUGUAGUAAAAACUCUAUAAAAUUAAUAAUGUUGUGACUAUGCAAUUUUAUUAGUUUAUAGAGUGAUUAAUUUACAAUAAGUUUAUUUUUUAGAUUUUUGUAUUUUAGACUAUCUCUUUAAUAUAAAAUAAAAAUAAUAAUUAAUUUUACUCUGUAUAAAUUAAUUAAAAUUUUGAAAUUCCACUUUCAUAGUAUUUUUCUUAUAUUGUUUCGUGUAUAAUAUCUAUAAAAUUUAAUUAUGGUUUUAAAUAUAACUUUACUAAAUAUUAUCAAAAUAUAUUGAAUUGUUAAGAAAGAAUAGAGAUAAUAUCAUUUGAAUAUAAAAAACCAAUACAAUUUUUUAUUUGUACAUAUAUAUAAAAUGUAUAUACAUAUAAAUUAUUAGUUUAUAAUUUUAAUGAGAUCAUAUAUUUAAACAGCGUUUUCCAAAAAAAAAAAUUCUUAUUAUUUUAUUGAUUUGUGUUAUAUUUUGAACCCACCCAACUCGAAACCAAAAGAAUUUAUCAAUUUAUAGUGUUUAUUAAUUUAUCGAGUAUUAAUUUAUAGAGUUUCUACUGUAUUCGUUAAUUAAGACCAGAUGAUUUUCUCUUCUUUUUUUGCUAAAGGGUAAAUAUCAUUAAUAAUGAAAAGAGGAUUAACAAACAUAGCGGAUCUAGUUUAUGUUAAACCUUGGCAAAAAGAAAGCUAAACAAGUUAAUAACAAAGUUUCAGAUGGUAAAACAAGUUAACACAUCCACUUAUUAGCCUUAAGGUUUAGGAAGACCAGGUGAUUUUCAAUUAGCUUUAACUUUUGGAAGUUUUGGAAAAUGUAUCCAAUUUUAUAGUUGUUUUUAUUACAAACAAUGAGAAAAAUGUAAAUAAAAUAUCGGAGUUUUAUAGUUGUUUUUUAUUACAAACCGUAUGCAAAAUCCAACAUGCAGGAAAUAUUUGCACAUAAUAUCCAGGGUCUAAUUAAGAAGAAUUUAAUUAUGGUUUUAAAUAGAAGAAGCAUGUUCACUUAAUGAUCGAUGUUAACCUUCAUCCAAAAAUGAUUUGGUAAAAAAAGUGAUGCUAACAGAAUUAUUUGGACCACAAAAAAUUUUUAACGUAAAAAACAAAUACGUAAAUGUAAUUUCUACAUUGUAUAUUUGAAUAGAUUUUCGGUGUCACCGUGUACUGAUAAAUUUAUCGCUAUUUUAUCGCUAUUUCCAUUUUAUCACCAGCUCCUAAUAUUUCUAACUAUAUAUUUCUGUAAAAAUGUUAUAUAACAUUAGUUGAAUCUUUUUGAGAAUCUGGUUAUGAAUCCGAGACAUCUAGAACCUAAUUUUGUGAGAGAAAAUCAAUGGGUUUAUUUGUUCUUGUGGAUCUUUACUUCACCAAAUUUUCAUAUGGAUUGUAAUUAAUUAGUGUCUAACGUAUAUGAAGGUGCCAGUGAUGGCUCCAAGAAUAGUCUAACCUUAGUGGUCUAAAACCUAUUUUUAAUAACGUAAACGAAGCGAAGAUUUAAUAUUAGUUCACACGAGAUGAACGUAUGAUUAACGUCUCAUAAUGCCAUGAUUUGAAAACACAACAACCACUUAAAUUUGAGUAUUUUUAUAACCGAUGCAUCCAUCUCAUUUGACUCUUCAGUCUAUGGGUAUAUUGACCCUAGCUAUUGAAAGCUGUUUGUGUAGAGAACUCAUAGUCGUCGUAGACUUUUCAAACAAAUAUGUAUUGAAGUAUAUUUGUUAAGGGCGUUGCAUGCACCACGGACUCGCACUAUAAAUAGGCGCAGAAUGGUACGAUUCAAACAUAUAAAAAUAAAGUAUUAUUUCAUGAAAAUGUCUGGGGUUAGGAUGUUAGCAUCAUCACCAAUGUUGCUGUUUCUUCUCAGCCUUCUAAUGGCUUCCAACUUCGACACCACAGGUUUAGUCAUCUCUUAAGCUUAUGUAGCAUCCAUUAAUUAAUCAUCUUCUAUAACCCUAUUGAUUAUAUUUUAUUGCAUGACAAUUUUAUUACUAGCUGGACAAAUCGGAGUAUGCUUCGGGCAGAUGGGAAAUAACAUACCAAAUCCAUCGGACGUUGUGGCUAUGUUCAAGCAGUAUAGCAUCCCGCGAAUGCGGAUGUACGGUCCCAACCCCGACGCUCUCAACGCUCUCCGUGGCUCCAACAUCGAGUUCAUCCUCGACGUUCCCAAUGGCGACUUAAAACGUCUCGCAGACAGCCAAGCGGAGGCCAACACAUGGGUCCGAGACAACGUCCAGAAGUAUAACGAUGUCAGAUUCAAGUACAUCUCGGUCGGAAACGAGGUGAUGCCCGGGGGCCCAGGUGGGGUUGGGACGGUUCUCUUCCAGGCUAUGCAAAACAUUGAUAGAGCACUUUCCGCAGCAGGGCUCAGCAAUAUCAAGGUCUCCACGACUACAUACAUGGGAGCCUUCACGGACACGUAUCCUCCGUCGCGCGGAAGAUUCAAGGAUGAGUAUAGAAACUUUCUACAACCGGUGAUAGGUUUCUUGGUGAACAAGCGAUCUCCUCUGCUCGUGAAUAUCUACACUUACUUCGGCUUCAAGAACGGCGACGUCUCUCUACGAUUCGCUCUGUUGCAACCGAAUAGUAAUAAUGAAUUCACUGACCCCAACAACCAGCUCCGUUACCUAAACCUCUUCGACGCCAAUCUCGACUCAGUUUACGCGGCACUGGAGAAAUCGGGCGGGGGAUCGUUGGAUGUCGUGGUGUCGGAGAGCGGUUGGCCCACGCAGGGAGGACCCGGGACAAGUGUGCCGAAUGCGGAGGCUUAUGUUAACAAUUUGAGACUACAUGUUAAUAAGAAUGGAUCUCCGAAAAGGCCAGGGAAACCUAUAGAGACUUACAUAUUCGCCAUGUUCGAUGAGAA
rnacentral:lncRNA from 1 species